CACGGGUCCUUCGGAACGCUCACACUGGGGGAAGCCAGCCAUCAUGCGAGACGUAUUCCCAAGUAUUCUGGGCCCCCAUGCUGUAGGGAAGCCAAACUAGUCAUGUAGGGAGGUUGUGUAGAGAGAGAGAUUCUUGACCAGUCCCCCCUCCGCUCAGCCGCCCCACUGGUCCCAGACAGAGAAUCACACAUUCGAACAGAAAAGCGUUCGCAUCUCUCCAGCCCCAGCCGCCUUUGAUGGCACCUGGGCCAGCAUUCCUAGUUACAAGCUCCGUAUUUCCCAGUCAAGUCCCUGCCUGAUGGUACAGCUACUUCCCAAUCCACGUGGAGCCCUGCCUCUGCUGAACUGCCCUCAACUCCCUUUGGCCUCUCAGUGGCUCUGCACCGCUCACCUUAUGCCCACUGGAGCCAGAACCCAUGAUGGAGACAGAUGAAGCCACGCCGGAGGUCUUCCAAAGGAGCAAUCCCAGAGAGGUAUGGAAUUUGACCCAAGGCUUGAUUUUCUCAGUGCGGAAGCACACGGCAUGACCAUCAACUUGAAGGAAGCUGGGAGCAGUCAGCUAGACAACCCGAGGUCAGAGGUCAUAUCUGGAAAGGCACAGGUAAAGUUUAAGACUUUAUUACAACUGAAGGGCAAAUUACCUUUCUAAUGAUGUGCCUUCUUCCUACAGGCAGAGAGGAAUUCAUGAAGAUUUCUCGCAAGAUCCAAGAAGCUUUUUUUAAAAAAGAGAGUCUUUGGGGGCUCGUUUUGGUUAAAUACUGCAUUAAGAAAUAGGUGCCUACUUUUGGCUUUGUAUUUCCUUUCGUUUCCUCCACCCCCAGCUAUCUCUACUUUGAUCUGGUCCACAUGUCAGUCCCAAGACUGACAUCACAAUGACAAGAGCUUGACUGUGAGUGAAGAACACAGCCGAACGGAUAUGUGGCAGCAAGCAUUCCGUAUCCAAGGGCGCUCGGAAUGUUCGAGAAUGUUCAUCACUUCUUCCUAUCCUUUAGCUAUCAGUAUCACACAGGAAGGAACCUGGUUUUCCUCCUUUUCAGAGACAGCCUCACAGCCACACUGAGAUGAUGGGUUUCACGUGGAGUUUUCUGGGCUGCGGACGAGGGGAAGGCUUGGGUUUAGGGUGAACAGCCUGUCUUGGAUUUUGGAGUGGAACUGUUUGGCUCUGUGCCCUCGUGCUACAACGAGCUGAUUAGGGGACCCCUCGGAUCUGAAAACAGAGCCCCUUGGCGUGAUUAACAUUAAAUGAGAUAAUAAACGGGAAGCACUGAAUCUGGUGCCUCAAACCUAAGGGUCCUGAAGAAAUUACAGCUAAAGACAAUUUUAUCGUAGUUUUCAAUGCUAUUAUUUUGUUAAAAGGUUUGUUUCCGUCUGUUUCCUGAUCCUCGUACGUCAAGAGUAUGCCCCCAGACACCCAAAUCUCACAACAGAUGGAUCUACUUCUCUUAAUCCCAGAGUCCUUUCCUUCUGGCUGUGAGAGAUUGCGUCUCGGCUAAUUUUCCUGGAGUCUUCCUGAAGAGCCGCGAGGAUGCCCUGGAAUAAGGGUGCGAGAGUCCUAACUCUGUACUCUGGGGGAAACCUCUGCUUCAGAUCACGUUGGGUCCGAGGGACCCCCGUUUGGA